rnacentral:lncRNA from 1 species
AGGUGGUAUUGAGUAUGUAUGCUUUUUUCCUCUUUUUCUAGGCUGCAAUUAGAGGAUUCAUUCAUGAUUCAGCAAAAGGCUACAACAAUACAGAAUCUGAAUAGUUUUUUUUUUUUUUUUUUUUUUUUUUUUUGUUAGAUGACGUAAGUCAUAUUAAAACUUAUGGAUGAACAACUUCCCAGUUAUUUUUCCCAAUAAACUACUAAGAUGUGGUAUAUGUAAUUUGUUUGAUCACUUCUUACAUCUUUUCAAAGUGCAAUAUAAGGAUACUUUUUCUACUCAAAUUGGUAUCUUGGACAGUCUUUUACCCUUGUGGCAAAAUUCUGAAACAUAUUUUCUUAAGUUGAUCCUUCUCAUUGAGAGGUGAAACAAGAUUAUAUAAGAAAGCACAAAUUUGAUUCAUUAUUUUGAAUAACUGUCUUUCUUAUGCUCAUUUUCCCUUUAAAGUGAAGUAAAAAAGCACGUGUUUCUCUAUCAAUGCUUGGUAUUCAUAUGCAUAAUUGUCGACAACUUUUUAAUAAUAACUUGCAAUGUGUAAUGAUGGUGCCUUGUAAAAUAUCAUUGAUGUUCAAUUUAAUUGUUACCAACUUUGAUAAAUGUGUAUAUGAUGGAAGACAGUGUUCAGAGCAGGAAGCAUUGGAAGAUGUUUAAAAGGCAAAUUUAUGCUUUGGCAACUUUUACCUAGAAUAUGUGAAAGAAAAACCUAGUAUUGGUAAACCUAUUACCCGUAAGUUGACCUAGUUCUACAAAUAUUUUCAAUCAUAUUAUCACAUUGUGACAAGUUUUUUCAAGCAUACUACAAUUGAAGUGAUAAUGUAAUAUCAUUAAUAACAUCUAGUGAAACAUUAGCUAGUCUAUGAACUGUGAGUAAGACAUUGUUUUUUACAUUAACAUAAGGUGAAAAAUUCAAUAAUCAGUAAUAUGUCAUUGAAAUUGUGUGGUUGACAAAAGAUAGUUUUUGGGUUUCAUUUCUAUUGCUAACCUUAAUUUACUAAUGAUUACAUUAUACCGUUUCAUCGUACUUGCAAAUAUUUGUUUCACAUCCCAACGGGGAGAAGUAUUCUAGUGUGCUAUGCCCAAAGAGUCUUGAAGUGUUAAAGUAAGAAUGUACUUUUAAUUUAUUUUUCCAGAUAACUUGAUAUGUGAAAUUAGUAAUGAUUUCAAGUGAUGCUCCCCACCCCACCUUUUUUCUC